UACGAAGGGGGCUAGCGUUGUUCGGAUUUACUGGGCGUAAAGCGCACGUAGGCGGAUUGUUAAGUCGGGGGUGAAAUCCUGGAGCUCAACUCCAGAACUGCCUUCGAUACUGGCAAUCUCGAGUCCGGAAGAGGUAAGUGGAACUCCUAGUGUAGAGGUGGAAUUCGUAGACAUUAGGAAGAACACCAGUGGCGAAGGCGGCUUACUGGUCCGGUACUGACGCUGAGGUGCGAAAGCGUGGGGAGCAAACAGG
rnacentral:rRNA from 1 species